GUCCGCACAGUAAACGAUGAAUACUAACUGUUUGCGAUACACAGCAAGUGGUACAGUGAAAACGUUAAGUAUUCCACCUGGGGGAGUACGCCGGCAACGGUGAAACUCAAAGGAAUUGACGGGGGCCCGCACAAGCGGAGGAACAUGUGGUUUAAUUCGAUGAUACGCGAGGAACCUUACCCGGGCUUGAAUUGCAUUUGAGUAGUGUGGAAACAUGCUAGCCAGCAAUGGCAAAUGUGAAGGUGCUGCAUGGUUGUCGU
rnacentral:rRNA from 1 species